rnacentral:rRNA from 1 species
GACGAACGCUGGCGGCACGCCUAACACAUGCAAGUCGAACGGAGUUAAUUGAGCUUGCUCAAAUAACUUAGUGGCGGACGGGUGAGUAACACGUGAGCAACCUACCUUUAAGAGAGGGAUAGCUUCUGGAAACGGAUGGUAAUACCUUAUAAAAUAUUUGUAUGGCAUCAUAUAAAUAUCAAAGAUUAAUCACUUAAAGAUGGGCUCGCGUCUGAUUAGCUAGUUGGUAAGGUAACGGCCUACCAAGGCAACGAUCAGUAGCCGGACUGAGAGGUUGAACGGCCACAUUGGGACUGAGACACGGCCCAGACUCCUACGGGAGGCAGCAGUGGGGAAUAUUGCACAAUGGGCGAAAGCCUGAUGCAGCGAUGCCGCGUGAGGGAAGAAGGUUUUCGGAUUGUAAACCUCUGUCAUAAGGGACGAAAACAGACGGUACCUUAGAAGGAAGCUCCGGCUAACUACGUG